rnacentral:sRNA from 1 species
AUUUUUGUAUUCUUAGUGGAGACGGGGUUUCGCUAUGUUGGUCAGGCUGGUUUUGAACUCCUGAUCUCCGGUGAUCCACCACCCUCGGCCUUCCAAAGUGCUGGGAUUACAGGCGUGAGACACCGCGCCUGGCCGGAAAUCAUGUAAUUUAAAACUAUAUAUGGGUGUCUUAGGCGGCAUCCGUCCCAACUCUAAAGUACGCGUUAGACGGUCCUGGGCCAGAAGUGGGCCAUGGAGACCUCGGGACCCGCAGGGCUGCCGCCCGACCCGGCGACCCUCUGAAGGUGCACCGCCACCCCCAUUGUUUAUCUUACUGCCUCAUAGUAGGCACAUUGUCGUUCUCAAUAGAAUUGCACAGUUUUAUUCUGGAUCCCCAUUUGCCUUUAAGAAUUUUCUCAAUUUUUCUUUUUCUUUAUUUGAUCGUACCACUGCAACCUCCGCCUGCUGGGCUCCAGCAUUUCUCCUGCCGCAGCCUCCCGAGUAGCUGGCACUACAGGCGUGUACCACCACGCCUGGCUUAUUUUUGUAUUUUUAGUAGAGACGGGAUUUCACCAUGUUGGCCAGGCUGGUCUCCAACUCCUGACCUUGUGGUCCGCCACGCCAGGCCGAAGAUUUUCAUAAUUUGGAAGCAUUACGUUUCGUAAUUAUGCUUUCUCGUAUUUUUGUGAUUUGGGUCAUUUUUAUUUUUAUAUUUUUAGGAUUACAGGCGUGAGCCAUCGUGCCUCGCCGAUUUGGGGGUAAUUAACAAGUCCACGUGUUUCAUUUGAAUUUAGGAUAGCUGGGCCUAAUUGUUGUCUUUGCUUCUGCGGUACCUUCCGCAUCGUACUAACCGCCUAUUGUAAAGUAAUUAGAAUAGCUGAAUAUGCAUGUUACCAGUCUAGAAACCGAUUUUUUUUUAACACCCCACUGUGGACAGGGUGGAAACUCGUUUGCUUUCUUGUUUAAGAUCUGUAGUAACAUGAAUGGAUGAAAUUGUUUCCUAUUAGAUUCUGUAAAUUUAUGCGUUACACUGAUUGUCCAACGUGGAUACACCCGGGAGGUCACUCUCCCCGGGCUCUGUCCAAGUGGCGUAGGGGAGCAUAGGGCUCUGCCCCAUGAUGUACAGUCCCUUUCCACAACGUUGAAGAUGAAGCUGGGCCUCGUGUCUGCGCCUGCAUAUUCCUACAGCUUCCCAGAGUCCUGUGGACAAUUACUGGGGAGACAAACCAUGCAGGAAACAGCUCUUCUAGAGCACUGAAUCUGGAUUGAAGUCUUUUUUUUUUUUUUUUUUUUUUUUGGAGAUGGAGUCGCUCUGUUGCCCAGGCUGGAGUGCAGUGGCGCACUCCAUUGCCUCUGCCUCCCGGGUUCAAGUGAUUAUGCUAAGUGAUUCUCCUGCCUCGGCCUCCUGAGUAGCUGGGAUUACAGGCCCCCGCCACCACGCCCGGCUAAUUUUUGUAUUUUUAGUAAAGACAGGGUUUCACCAUGUUGGUCAGGCUGGUCUCAAACUCCUGACCUCGUGAUCCGCCAGCCUCUGGCCUCCCAAAAUGCUGGGAUUACAGGCGUGAGCCACCACACCUGGCUGGAUUGAAGUCUUAAUACAUGUUUAAGAAAAAUUGGCUAAAAAGUAGCCAGGCAUGAUGAUAGGUAGCUGGAGGAAGGAGAAUCGCUGGAGCCCAGGAGUGACCUAUGAUUGUGCCACUGUACUCCAACCCCAGACGAUAGCAUGAGGCCCCUCGUUGAAAAAGUUUAGGGUUUUGCUGUACUAAUAGAUUAAUAUAUUGUUUUGCAGGAUUUGUUAAGGAUUCCAAGUAACUCUUAUUUGGAGAGAAGACGAUCUGCACUUCGCAUUUUGACAUUGACAUUUAAUUUUAGGGUCCUUUAUAUAGAAGGGAGAGUAGGUAAACUGAUUUUUUUUAACAGGGAGGGUUUGACAAUCUUUGGCAGAGUUGGAGCAAAAGAUUGAGGUGCAUUUCAUGCCUCCUUUUGAGAGUCUUGCUGUGUCGCCCAGGCUGUAGUGCAGUGGCGCGAUCUUGGCUGCAAACUCAGCCUCCCAAGUAGCUGGGAUUACAAACGUAAGCCACCACGCCCAGCCCUCAUACCUCUUUUAAAAGUCGACCUGUUUUGCAGAAAGUCUGCUGUUUUGUACUAAAGGCUUUGGAAUUUGGCAUUUAGCUAGGAAUGCACAUUCUUACACCUCAUUCAUACUUUAAGAACCACAGAAGUGACUCUGCUUGGCCAGAAGGCACUUCCGCCUCCCAGGUUCAGGCGAUUCUCCUGCCUCAGCCUCCCAAGUAGCUGCGACUACAGGCGUGUAGCACCGCACCUGGCUAAUUUUUGUAUUUUUAGUAGAGAUGAGGUUUCACCAUAUUGGCCAGGCUGUUCUCAACUCCUGACCUCGUGAUCCGCCCGCCUCAGCCUCCUAAAGUGCUGGGAUUACAGCCGUGAGCCACCCUGCCCGGCCACUUUUGUAUGAUUUCUAAUGUAUUUGUAAUUUACCUAACAAAUUGCCUAAUCUGCUAUGUUAAUGUAUUUAUGAAUUAAAAUAAAUAUGACUGC